GAUGAAGAACGCAGCGAAAUGCGAUAAGUAAUGUGAAUUGCAGAAUUCAGUGAAUCAUCGAAUCUUUGAACGCACAUUGCGCCCGCCAGCAUUCUGGCGGGCAUGCCUGUUCGAGCGUCAUUUCAACCCUCGAGCCCCCCCGGGGGCCUCGGUGUUGGGGGACGGCACACCAGCCGCCCCCGAAAUGCAGUGGCGACCCCGCCGCAGCCUCCCCUGCGUAGUAGCACACACCUCGCACCGGAGCGCGGAGGCGGUCACGCCGUAAAACGCCCAACUUUCUUAGAGUUGACCUCGGAUCAGGUAGGAAUACCCGCUGAACUUAAGCAUAUCGAUAAGCGGAGGA
rnacentral:misc_RNA from 1 species